rnacentral:rRNA from 1 species
GACGAACGCUGGCGGCGUGCUUAACACAUGCAAGUCGAGCGGUAAGGCCCUUUCGGGGGUACACGAGCGGCGAACGGGUGAGUAACACGUGGGUGACCUGCCCUCAGCUCUGGGAUAAGCCCGGGGAAACUGGGUCUAAUACCGGAUACGACCUUCUGUUGCAUGACAGUUGGUGGAAAGUUUUUCGGCUGGGGAUGGGCCCGCGGCCUAUCAGCUUGUUGGUGGGGUGAUGGCCUACCAAGGCGACGACGGGUAGCCGGCCUGAGAGGGCGACCGGCCACACU